AAAAUUCCUUCCUGUCUAAUGCAGGAAGUGUUCAGCUCUGACCCAAGCAUGGCAAAGACAUUGAAUUUGCAAAACAGUACAAAACCCACCAACUUUUUGGCCGAAGACUCCUGAAUACUUUAUGUGCUCCCUGGAACUUGGCUUCUGCAGGACUCUUUAAAAUCGGAUAGUCCUGACUAACUGCAUUCUGUGCCUGAAGAACAGCUCUGACUGAAGGGAAGUGUUAAUGCAGUGAUAGAUGACUAGAACAUCUGUUAUCAACUUAUAUGAAUUUGAAAUCAUGACUUCUGUUGGAGAUAUUCUUUAUCCUAUUUUCCUUCUUUAAUAAUAUAUUUGGAACCAUCAUGAGGCCAAAUUGUGAAGCAGAACUAAUGUGAUAAAGACUUCCUGGACUUCCCUGCCUUAUAUGAUGGUUGUAGUUCAUCCUAUAGAAUAUAGACUCACAGCUAAGACUUUGCCUGGGGUCUCAGAGGAAAUUUUGACCUGGAAUUUUAAAUAAUGCUGAAACUGUGGAGACCUUGAAGAAGACAUUAUUGUGUUUUUAUUUAUAUGCAAGAUCGAACUCAGGACAUUGAGCUUGGAGGCAGGCAUGGUGCCACUGAGCUACAUCCCGGCCCAUAGGUUAUUCUCAGCGGUGUUUGGAUUCUUAGAUGAGAUUUGCCAGACUGGGAACUAAAGCACUUAGAACACUUUGGCAAGGCUUUGGAGCUGGAUUUCACUGUGCAACUGUGAAGCUGUUCUUGCAAAGGUUUGACAGGAAGAGACUUCAGUGCUGAGCCAGAAAAUAAGUGCAUCCAAAGAAGAGCUGACCCAUUAUUCAAGCAUCUCCAGUCUUCUUUGCUACAAAGAAGAUACUACACACCUGCUGCUACAGUUGUCUCUGGUUAAAAAACUCUUCCCUUCAAUUUAGGAAGCCUGACCAAGAGAUAAAUUAUUUCUCCUUGUCAAUGAACACACAUUUUUUAUUUGCUUAAUCCGAUACAAUUUCUUUCUCCUCAUCUCAUUUUUGAUUUUCCUUUCUUGGAGAAAAAUGAGAGAGGAAAAUGAGGUUUAGAUUAAGUAAACAGAUGCCAAACAUUUUGUGAGGCUGUUAUACAUUAGAUGUCCCAGCUACAACCUUUAUCUGUCUUUAUAACAUUGUAUUCAUGUGAAUAUUGAGUUACAUGGAUUCAUUUUGUAUGCCAUCGUAAAGCUGCAUCUUGAAGUCCUCUUCUCUUGGGAGAUCUUUGUGCAAUUUCCUUAUCAAUGUACAGCACUACUGAAAUAACUAUUUUAGGUGUUCUCUCAUGGACAGAUGACCCAGGACAGACACAGUCAUCUCACUGUGCUUUGUGUGAUUCAUCUGCAGUUCAAUUCUUUGGAGUUUCAGCUCUUAGCACAAUACCACUUCCUGUUUUUGAGAGGAGAAAUGGCAUAAAAAAUCACAUAAAAAGUCUUAUGAGGCCCUUGGACAUCAAAUAACUCUUGCAAAACAAAAUUUUAAUAAAUUAAGUGUAAAUGAAUCAGAAACAUGUGGGUUGAAUUUCCCUGGAAAUACCCAAGGGCUUAAAAAUUAAAAAAAAAAUUAAAAAGAAUUGCUUGGCAAAGAAUCUUGUGCAUUUUACUGAGCUCAAGCCUUUUGAAAAAGAGCAAAAGAAAACAGCCUUGAUUUGGUUGACUGAAUUAAGAAAACACUCCUGUACCCUUUAUUUAUUUUUAAUUCUACAAAAGUCAGAUUGAAGGUAUAAUUACGUUUCUUUUUGGGUGCCAAAUACAUCGAUGUUAGAGCAUUUUUCAAGUACAGUAACAUUUUGACUAACCAGAACCUCAAGUCAUGGUUGUCUUUUCAAAGGCAAUAGUGGCAGGCAAAGAAAAACUAAAAACUGUAGUUCAAGUAAAGGUCAUUAGAGCUGAGGUAAAGAAAACAUGGUGAUCAUUCAGUUCACUAACCAAGAGGAUCCUAACUGUAAAGGAACCCUGAGCCUUGGUAGUUAGCCACUGAACAAAGCACAAAAAGCAGUCAUGUGAAGACCAAAGCUCAGAAUGUAAGGAAAGUUGAAAUAAGUGGAAAAAUCUGUCUACUGAACGGAAGCUCUGGAAUAAAAGGAAAUGGCUGACCAAGGAAAAUAAAAGUUGCAAGAACUGAAAAAUUUAAAUAGCAGCUAGCAAUGGCCAAAAUGAAGCACAGGCAUAGGGAUUUGAAGGUUGGACACAGAAAAGCAAAACAAAGACCAAUAUUCACACCCCAAACCGUACUGUGAACACAAAG
ensembl:lncRNA